rnacentral:lncRNA from 1 species
CCCGCUUCCCGCCUCCUCGCCCGCGCGCGCCGCUGGGGCCGCCAGAGGAGGGGGCGCGGGCAGGGGUUGGGCAGCGCGAUCCGCGACCGUUGGUCCCCCCUCCACGGCCCCUCCGGGGGAAGGUUUCAAACCGCCCGCCUCCCGCUGAGGGGAGGGCCCUGCGGGCGGCCCCUCUGCAGCUGCUGGGGGCCAGACGCAUCCACCGCCCCCUCGAGGGACCUGUAUAGUCGAAGUAUAUUUACGUAAGGAGAGGCCAGGGUAAAAGCGAGGGGCGGAGAGGAAAAAUGGUCUCUGGGCACAGCAGGGUGACGCCGGGCUGAGGUGAAGGAUGGGCAGAAGCCCCUGCAGGCUGAGGUACCUCGGCCGCGGCAUGGCCUCGCCUCCAGGCUGGAGGAAAAGCCGCGUUUCCCAGCUCCGCCGCCAAAAGUAAGCGUGCGGGGCAUUCACAAGUCUUUGAGGCAACCCAGCUCGAGAAGUGUUUCCUUUUUCCCUUAAGAGCCAAUGGCACACACCUAAAAGCCCCCAAAAAAGCCUUAACGUGGAAAAGAAGGGAGUUGAAAGCCUGUGUGUGUGCCGGCGAAGCGGUCACCCCGCACGUACAAGGGGAACUCCCGAAGGCGAUGCCCGCACAGCCCGAAAUAAAAGUGCUAAACGUCCGAGAGCCGAGGGACGCGGAAACUGAAUGGGGACCUCCUCGCCUCGGCUCUUUCAUAACAGCAGGAACGCGGCGCGGCGAUGCGGUAACGCGGCGAUUAGGCAACGUUUUGUGAGGGGAGAGAAGGAAAGGUUCGGUAAUCCGACGUGAAUAAAGCCCGAAAGAGCCAACUAAGCCAUACCUGGAUCUCAUGAAUGCGGCCGAAGCCGUCCUUCCAGAAGAACUCGUAGAGAUUGUAGAGGGUGUUGGGUCCGGGCAUUUCGUGCAGACUCUUCACCCUGCCCAGCUGCGGGGAGGGCUCCAGCAGCUCCCCCGGCCGCGCCGCUUUGUUCUCCGCGCCGCUCCGCACCUCCAGGGACUGACUGCCCGACAGCCCGGGCGCCUGGUGAAACCUGCUGACAAAAAGCGCGUGCUGGAAGGCCACUGAUGACAGAGCAGUUUACUUCAGAGUACCUGCAGUUCAUACAGGUUCUACCCACGGAGAUGUCCCAAAAUGGAUGUAUGCCUCUAAUGAUCUUCAACAGCUAGGUUCAAGUGCAAUCCAUUAGAGACUAUUUGCUCUUUCACCUUGUGCAAUUUGUGCAGUGACUGCUGCACAUGGCUAUCUGGAACAUCAUUUGUCUUUCACGUCACCGUCACCACUGCUGAAACACACCACCCACCACCUCAGUUUGCUAGCAUCUACUGUUUAAGUCUCCGUAAGUGUUCAGCAAGCUUCAGUGAACGUCAAUGGGUGCCAUUUUUUCUGCACGGAGGAAUUCAAUUCCACAUCUUUGCUUCAUAUGCACUUCCAUGCCAGACACCAUUUUGUCGGACUGCCCCCCUGCUACCAUCUGUCACACAACAACAACAUGCAAUGGAAUAUUGGUGAGAAGAUUCAGCCUUUACUGCCAUACUACCAACAUCCACCUCUGACACUGUGGGCCAACAUAAUUAAACAGGAGGCAUUACUUUCAGAUCCACCCUUAUAUAUCCGAAAGUAAUGUAACUAAAGUAACUUACCUUCCUAAAAGCUGUAUUAAACUACUUGUAUCUACCCUUACAGCAACAGAGUUAACAGAAUAAUGCAGGAAAAAUUUUUGCCUGCAAGUAAAACCUUCAUUAAUACAUUUCACAACUGUAAUUCUCAAGUAUCUGACCUAGUCACAAAAUGAAAGAAUUAAAGUUAUAUUCACAGGCCACAGUUUAGUAAUUAGAAGGGACAAAUUACCUUGAAGCUAUAGCCUUGAUCUACAAGAAACCGCUGUCGCUUUGUUGAAUAUGCCAUUUCCUGAGUGUCUUGGGAUACAAGAGAAUAGAAAAAGGCAUUGUAUUCCUCUGCAACCAUGCCUAGGAGACAAAGCCACCAAAGGAUUAGUUCCAUUUGGAUCACUACAACCAAGAAGAAAAAAGGACUAAAUUGUAAAAAUAGGUAUUCAAAGAAGAAUCCUCUCCACAAAAUCAGUUUGUAAAAUGUAUUUUAAAUACAAGCUGCAUCCAGACCUUACAUAAACUGAGUGACAAAGCACACCACAUCGAAAUUCCUACUCUUGUUCAUAAUAACUCGAGGAUAGCUUAAAGGGAAAUGGAAAAGGAAAUUUAGACUAUCCCAGUUAUGCUGGUACCCCGAGAAGAACCUGCUGCUUAACUAUGCAGAACAAAGUAGAAGAAAAAAUUACUUACAUAAUAGUUUGCAAACAAGUGGUAAGAAGUCGAGAACAAAGAUUGUAAUGGAUGUCAAAAAAGUUAAACAGAAAUUACAAUGGAAAUUUAUCAGUGUGAUUUAUCAAUGUAAACGAAAGUUAGCAAUCUUUUUGCAUUAAAAGAAAGAUAAAACGAUAUUUUCUUUAACAACAAAAAAACCAAAGCAACCAAACCAAUCAAACAAACAAACAAACAAAAGCCCACUGACCUUAUGGCUAUUUUACCUACUCUCAAAUACCACUGGGUUUUCUUGCAAAACCCAAGGUCUCACUAACACAAGUUUUGUAUGCAUUUUCAAACAAAACUUCAGCCACAAGAAACAUAAACUGUACAGAAAAUAAACUUUGCUGUACUACACCAAGACAGCACUGUGGAGUGUGCUUUGGUAGGAAGAAAAUUACAGAUAACAGCAGCAACUCUGUAUGGGGACAAUAAAAAGAGACUUCACAUCACAUGAAAACAGGUGGGAGAAAGCAAACCCCAGAUUCUGCUUACAACACUCAUUUUCCCAACAGCCAAAUGCAGAACUGAAGCACUGCAAUUUUAUUCUCCACCUGACAGUUAUCAAUAAUUUCCUCUGAAAUACGACCACUUCCUAGGGAAUACUCUUUCUAUCUAAACUAAGUGCCAACAGGCUGUGAUAUAAACCAAUCUUUAAGCUUCUUACUACCUUAACUUGAGAGAACUCUUGAAGUAGAACCAUUUCACCUUGAGCUACUUUAUAAUUUGUCUCAAGAAGAUAUAAAUGGGAUUAGAGCAGAUUAAACAUCGCCUAUUUAUCAGUUAAUAGAACAGACUUACAUCAGUGUCUUUUAGGAAACAUUCAGUUAAUCAAGUCAACCAGCAAAUUCUGCCUAAGAGCGAUUCACCUUAGUUCAAGACUAAUAGAAACGUCAAAAGAAAACGUGACAGAAGCAUCCCAAUAGCACUCAUAUGUAUUCUUCAAACUGAGACACAGAUGGGAGUGAUCAGUGAGAUUUCAAAUAACCAAUGAAGCAAUUCCUAAAAUCCUGACCCCACAGUAAGUUUAAAUCCUACUCACAUAUCCAUCAUAGAAAAAGGAAACACCAGUACAACUGCAGUUUUUUUCCUAUAUGAUCUCUGCACUCUGAGUCUAGAACAUACCAUAAAAAGCAAAGCUCACUUUCACUGAAGCUACAGUGACACUGUGACUCCACAUAUAUCCCAGGCCAGAGUGACAAAUAGCUUUUCAGCUUACAGUUUACUUAUCCUCUAGAAAUAUACUGGAGGAUGAGGGGAGGAACAGCAAAAACCUGAUGAACUAUUCAACCUGAUAACGAAAACAUGAUUUUGACAGUCUUUGGGUAGGAAGUAAAUGCUACAAGCACUCCAUUUAUGCUUUGCUAUGGAUGGACAGGAUUGCUGCUCCUGUUAGUGCCACAGCUUUCUACAACCUCCACCUGAAGUGUUUGUAAAUCAACUUUAAUAAAACACUAAAACAAGCAUUAGAGGAGAGAGAUACCUCAUAGAAACAAUGCUGGCUUUAUUGUAACAUAGUAUAUACAAAUUCACAAGUUUGGAGGAAAAAAAUAAACAUCACUGGGUGUUCUGGCUCAGCUGAUCUUAAGUUCUUAAAACAGAAAGGGGGAAACAAUGCUAUUCUGGCAUAGUAAAUCAUUGUAACAGGAGAGGAAAGAAGAUGCAAGAAAGUAUACAAGAAAGAAUUCAUUUCUGGCUAAAAAAGAAAUGGAGAAAAGAAAUAAGAGCUGCUGCAAGUGAAAGACUGAAUGGCAUCCGUAUUAGAACAACAACAACAAAGCCAAAACCCAACACUUCUCUCACACGGAACCUUGAACUACCUUCUUAUUCAUGAUAUUGCAGUUUAUUCAGUCUGUGUUUCAGUAUUCUAAAUAGUUGAGUAAUUAUCUGAAUGCCGUACUGUAUUCCAAAGAGCAGAGCCCAAGAACUACCUCACCUUUUUUGGCUCUCAGUACUCGCCCCAGUCUUUGAGCCUCCUGUCUUCGAGAUCCACCGUGGGAUGAAAUCUGAAUCAGAACAUUGGCUUCAGGUAGAUCAAAGGAUGUGUCACCCACCUACAACACAGAAGCAGUGUCUGAGCAGCAUCUUAUUUCCAUGUACCAAUAACGACUUUGUACAAAGUACACCUUUAUUAGUUGCAAUAAUAAAACGUCAAAUGCCCGAUGUGCAUGUAUAACUUGUUCUUAUAUAAGGCUCACUCUGAAGAUGAGUACAAAAACACACUACCUCCUCACCUUUGAAAUGAAAAUAGUGUUGAUUUUUGGAUUGUGCUUGAAGUUUUGUAGAAUUUGCAUUCUUUCUCCUUGUGCAGUAGGACCAUAUAUAUAAGGUCUGAAAAAAACAGAACACAUGCAAAUUAAACCAAUUCAAAAAUCCUCAUUUUUUAACAGGCACUAAGAUAUCAUGGCAGGGAGCUCAUUACACAGUGAUUUAAACGUAUUAAUAGCACUGGUGAAAAAAAGAGCAUGAGCUAUGUGACUCUGGAUGACAGACUUAGGACAGAGUAAAAACUGGCUUAACAAAUUUUGAGUUCUGAGGCCUCAAAAAAUUAAAGGCAAAAUAAUUCCUGUCAUGUGCAUGUUCUUUCCCUGCUAGUACCAAGGGAAUAGAAUGGGGCAAAGGAGGAGCUGGUGCAGCAGCAGCCACCAGGCAAUGCCAAUUUCUCUCCACUGGGGAGCCCACCUGCCCCAUAUGCUUGAGCCAGGCAGUGGAACCCACCCGCUGAGCCAGCACAGCC